GACGAACCGUGCGAACGUUAUUCGGAAUUACUGGGCUUAAAGGGUUUGUAGGCGGCCAUGUAAGUCAGGUGUGAAAUCCCUCGGCUCAACCGAGGAACGGCGCUUGAUACUGCAUGGCUUGAGGGAGACAGGGGUAAGCGGAACUGAUGGUGGAGCGGUGAAAUGCGUUGAUAUCAUCAGGAACACCGGUGGCGAAAGCGGCUUACUGGGUCUCUUCUGACGCUGAGGAACGAAAGCUAGGGUAGCGAACGGG
rnacentral:rRNA from 1 species